AAGCACUUGAGAAUGAUUCUUCGGAAGAUUUCUCUUGUGACUUAGUGGCGGACGGGUGAGUAACGCGUGGGUAACCUGCCUCACACAGGGGGAUAACAGUUGGAAACGACCGCUAAUACCGCAUAACCCGCUAGGGCCGCAUGGCCCGGACGGAAAAGAUUUAUCGGUGUGAGAUGGACCCGCGUUGGAUUAGCUAGUUGGCAGGGUAACGGCCUACCAAGGCGACGAUCCAUAGCCGGCCUGAGAGGGUGAACGGCCACAUUGGGACUGAGACACGGCCCAAACUCC
rnacentral:rRNA from 1 species